GACGAACGCUGGCGGCGUGCUUAACACAUGCAAGUCGAACGAAGUGGCGCACGGGUGAGUAACGCGUAAUCAACCUGCCCUUCAGAGGGGGACAACAGUUGGAAACGAAUGCUAAUAAGGCAUACUGACGUAGGGGAUUGCGUCUGAUGCGCUAGUUGGAGGGGUAACGGACCACCAAGGCGAUGAUCAGUAGCCGGUCUGAGAGGAUGAACGGCCACAUUGGGACUGAGAAACGGCCCAGACUCCUACGGGAGGCAGCAGGGGGGAAUCUGCCGCAAGGGACGAAAGUCUGACGGAGCAACGCCGCGUGAGUGAUGACGGCCUUCGGGUUGUAAAGCUCUGUUAAUCGGGACGCGGUACCGGAAUAGAAAGCCACGGCUAACUACGUGCCAGCCGCCGCGGUAAUAC
rnacentral:rRNA from 1 species